AUUGAACGCUGGCGGAAUGCUUUACACAUGCAAGUCGAACGGCAGCACGGGGCAACCUGGUGGCGAGUGGCGAACGGGUGAGUAAUACAUCGGAACGUGCCCAAUCGUGGGGGAUAACGUAGCGAAAGUUACGCUAAUACCGCAUACGAUCUACGGAUGAAAGCGGGGGAUCGCAAGACCUCGCGCGAAUGGAGCGGCCGAUGUCAGAUUAGGUAGUUGGUGGGGUAAAGGCUCACCAAGCCAACGAUCUGUAGCUGGUCUGAGAGGACGACCAGCCACACUGGAACUGAGACACGGUCCAGACUCCUACGGGAGGCAGCAGUGGGGAAUUUUGGACAAUGGGCGCAAGCCUGAUCCAGCCAUUCCGCGUGCAGGAUGAAGGCCUUCGGUUGUAAACUGCUUUGUACGGUAACGAAACGGCGAGCUCUAAUACAGUUGCUAAUGACGGUACCGUAAGAAUAAGCACCGGCUAACUACGUGCCAGCAGCCGCGGUAAACACG
rnacentral:rRNA from 1 species